rnacentral:pre_miRNA from 1 species
AUUCUACUCCCUCCGUCCAACAAAAGAUGUCAAAAUUUGGAUGUAUCUAAACAUGACUUAGUGUAUAGAUGCAUUCAAAUUUGGUCAAAGUUGAGACAUCUUUUGUUGGACGGAGGGAAUAAUUG